UAUUUAGAGAAAGAGUUGAGAGAAUAUAAUGAAGAGGAAGACUGACAGAAAGAGAAGAUGGCUGAUAAGUGUCACUUGUGUCUGCUGGGACUGAUCUUUCUCUCUUCACUUCUCACAGGGUUCAGUGAAGUGGAUCAUGUGUUCAUCAGUUCUGGUGAAGAUGUCCGUCUGCCCUGUAAUAAUGCUCUUCCUGACUGUAAAUCAACUACAUGGAACUAUAG